UCAGAUAUUUCAGUUGGAGAUGAGUAUCUGCCAAUUGCAACUGCAAAUGGAAGCAUUCUGACUUGGUCUAUAUUAGGCAGUGGGAGGAUUUGGUAGAGGUCAGGGUCAUUCUGGUGGAAAUGAAACUGUUACUGGAAGGGCCUGUCCAAAAGGGCUUUAUGGUAUAUUCUGCGAGAAGAGCAGUAUUAUCUUAGAGGUAGAGGGCAUGGCCAGCAGCUCUCUAUGAAUGAAAGACAUGAGGCAACAGAGAUGCAAAAGGAAACACGAGAGCAUACUCCACAAGCAAACAUAUUUUCAUCAUCACACAACUGUAGAUUCUACUUCUCCAUCAGAUGUUUCAGCAAACUGAUAGAUUUGUUUUAAAUUUUAUGAAUAUUGUUAAGUAUAUGGAUUUGUUCUAAACUUUCGAUUUUGUAAACAUUGUGAAGUAUUUGUGUGUAUGAAUAUGAAUUAUAAUGAUUAUGAAUGACUUUUAAUUUAUA